GAACGCUGGCGGCAGGCUUACACAUGCAAGUCGAGCGGUAACAUUUCUAGCUUGCUAGAAGAUGACGAGCGGCGGACGGGUGAGUAACGCGUAGGAAUCUGCCUAGUAGUGGGGGACAACAUGUGGAAACGCAUGCUAAUACCGCAUACGCCCUACGGGGGAAAGGAGGGGAUCUUCGGACCUUUCGCUAUUAGAUGAGCCUGCGUGAGAUUAGCUAGUUGGUGGGGUAAAGGCCUACCAAGGCGACGAUCUCUAGCUGGUCUGAGAGGAUGAUCAGCCACACUGGGACUGAGACACGGCCCAGACUCCUACGGGAGGCAGCAGUGGGGAAUAUUGGACAAUGGGCGCAAGCCUGAUCCAGCCAUGCCGCGUGUGUGAAGAAGGCCUUAGGGUUGUAAAGCACUUUCAGGAGUGAGGAAGGGCGUAUAGUUAAUACCUGUAUGUUUUGACGUUAACUCCAGAAGAAGCACCGGCUAACUCUGUGCCAGCAGCCGCGGUAAUACAGAGGGUGCGAGCGUUAAUCGGAAUUACUGGGCGUAAAGCGCGCGUANGCGGUUUGUU
rnacentral:rRNA from 1 species